AACGAACGCUGGCGGCAGGCUUAACACAUGCAAGUCGAACGCCGUAGCAAUACGGAGUGGCAGACGGGUGAGUAACACGUGGGAACAUGCCCUUCGGUUCGGAAUAACUUAGGGAAACUUGAGCUAAUACCGGAUACGUCCAAGGCAACUUGGAGAAAGACUUAUUGCCGGAGGAUUGGCCCGCGUCUGAUUAGCUAGUUGGUGGGGUAAUGGCUCACCAAGGCGACGAUCAGUAGCUGGUCUGAGAGGAUGAUCAGCCACAUUGGGACUGAGACACGGCCCAAACUCCUACGGGAGGCAGCAGUGGGGAAUAUUGGACAAUGGGCGCAAGCCUGAUCCAGCCAUGCCGCGUGAGUGAUGAAGGCCUUAGGGUUGUAAAGCUCUUUUGCCUGGGAAGAUAAUGACGGUACCAGGAGAAUAAGCCCCGGCUAACUUCGUGCCAGCAGCCGCAGUAAGAC
rnacentral:rRNA from 1 species